UACUCGAGUGGCGAACGGGUGAGUAACACGUGGGUGAUCUGCCCUUCACUUCGGGAUAAGCCUGGGAAACUGGGUCUAAUACUGGAUAGGACCAUCGUUUAGUGUCGGUGGUGGAAAGUUUUUUCGGUGGAGGAUGAGCUCGCGGCCUAUCAGCUUGUUGGUGGGGUAAUGGCCUACCAAGGCGUCGACGGGUAGCCGGCCUGAGAGGGUGUACGGCCACAUUGGGACUGAGAUACGGCCCAG
rnacentral:rRNA from 1 species